AUUGAACGCUGGCGGUAGGCUUAACACAUGCAAGUCGAGCGGGGACUUCGGUCCUAGCGGCGAACGGGUGAGGAAUGCUUGGGAAUCUGCCCAGUAGUGAGGGAUAACGUUUCGAGAGGAAGGCUAAUACCGCAUACGCACUACGUGGGAAAGGGGGGGAUCUUCGGACCUCUACCUCUUGGAUCAGCCCAAGUCGGAUUAGCUAGUUGGUGGGGUAAAGGCAUACCAAGGCGACGAUCCGUAGCUGGUCUGAGAGGAUGAUCAGCCACACUGGAACUGAGACACGGUCCAGACUCCUACGGGAGGCAGCAGUGGGGAAUAUUGGACAAUGGGCGAAAGCCUGAUCCAGCCAUGCCGCGUGUGUGAAGAAGGCCUUCGGGUUGUAAAGCACUUUAAGCGAGGAGGAAUGGCUCUUGGUUAAUAACCUUGAGCAGUGACGUUACUCGCAGAAUAAGCACCGGCUAACUCUGUGCCAGCAGCCGCCGUAAGAC
rnacentral:rRNA from 1 species